UACGUAGGGGGCAAGCGUUGUUCGGAAUUACUGGGCGUAAAGCGCGCGUAGGCGGUCCGAAAAGUCAGAUGUGAAAGCCCCGGGCUCAACUUGGGAACUGCAUUUGAUACUGUCAGACUAGAGUACAGAAGAGGUGACUGGAAUUCCCAGUGUAGCGGUGAAAUGCGUAGAGAUCGGCAGGAACACCCAGGGGGAAACCAGUCGACUGGGCAUCUACUGACGCUGAGGUGCGAGAGCGUGGGGAGCGAACCGG
rnacentral:rRNA from 1 species